rnacentral:lncRNA from 1 species
AUGGGUGCUUGGGGAGGUGACCCCUCCCUGAAAGGGAGAUUUUACUCAAAGGAAACCCCCCAAAAAAUGUCAAUUGGAGCAAACACAAUUCCAGCUGAUGAAGUUCCAUCCCUGGCCAGCAGCUGGGAGCCUCAGAUGAAGGGCCGUGUCUGGGGGGAGCCAGAACCGAGCAGAUCCUUUUCCAUUUCCACUCCUUUCCAGGGAGAGUUUUGCAGCCAGCCUGGGACAGGAUGGGGAGAAAGAAGGAUGCUCUCUCCAGGGGCUGUGUCCAGAGCCCAGGACAAUCCCAUAAGAGCAAGGAAAGGGAAAAAAAAAAAAUCUUCAUUUUCAGCUGAUUCCAGCUGUUCUGGUUCCAGUUCAGUUCUGCUGCUCUCAGACAAUCAAGGUACCUGCAGAGGGUUGCCAGCAGUGUGUGAUGCCCUUUCCACCCCUGGUUCCCCUCACCACAGAAGGGUUUUGCAGCCAGGAUGGGAGAAGGAAGGAAGGAUGCUCUCUGCUGGGGCUGUGUCCAGAGCCCAGGACAAUGUGGUUUUUUAGCUUUGGCUUGUGGGUGAAUCAUCCCAAGGUUGGUGAUCCAUCUCCUUGGAUGGCUGGGCUGUAAGGAGCCCCCUCCAUUCAUUCCUUGGGUGCUGUCACCUCUUCAACAUUCCCAAAACUGCUGCUGACUUACUCCAGACCAUGGGGAAUGGUGGAGGUAGCCCUGG